rnacentral:rRNA from 1 species
CGAAGCCGGUGGCCCAACCCCCUUGUGGGGAGGGAGCUGUCGAAGGUGGGACUGGCGAUUGGGACGAAGUCGUAACAAGGUAGCCGUACCGGAAGGUGCGGCUGGAUCACCUCCUUU